rnacentral:lncRNA from 1 species
CCAGUCUCGAGAGAAAGAGGCAGAGAGAAGAGAGGAGGGGCAGAGAGAGCCAAAUUUUGCUGGCUUUGUUGUGGCCUCCUUCUGCCCCCUGUCAAGACUGGAGUCACUGAUCCCAGAUCUUCAGGAAUGUUUAUAAUGUCAGACAGACCGCCAGAUCCGGACAGUGACCCAAAGUCUCCAAAGAAGAUUACGAGGCACCUCAGUUCCUGCACCUGGACCAGUGAGAGAGAUGCUCAGAUGUGAUACCUGCCGCCUGCCAGAACCUGGCCGAGACUGUGGACAAAGCUGCUGGACACUGGAAAAUUGAUUACACCCCUUUGCCUAGACAAAACAAGGCUGUUCUAAGUAGACUGCGAGCCCUGGACUUGCUGUGGAUGUGAACCAGUCAGCUGAUGUGGACACCCCCUGUCUCUGCAACAGUGUCUGCUAACCAGAAGCCCCUGAUGGAUUCCCCAUUGCCUAAAUUCCUUUUUGCUUUUGACUAGCAUUUCAACCUUCUGGGGUCCCUAACUUCGUCCCAAAGUCAGCAGGAAGCAGUUUGGAAAAGAAUUUCGCCGUCCAUUUUCCCUGGUUAAAAUGCUAAGUCAAAGGGAAUUCCCUUGCAUGGGGAUGCCAGUACCUAUCACUCCCUGAUGGGGAUACUAGAGAGACAGCAAUUCCAUGAUUGGAAUUUCCAAAAAAGAAAAUGGGGGAAUGAAGGAACCGGCUUCCCUUUUGGCAGCCAUAAUGGUCGAACAUGUGCUUCUAUGACCUUGACCUAGACACUAGAAAGUCAGAUGCCUGUCUCGUGACAAGGAACCAAUCAGAAGUUAGCUGGUGACGCUAUGCUUUAUGGCUCUGGGUGUGCUUUACGGACAAGCACACAGCAAUGACGUAGAGAGCAUAGCAACCACCCUGGGAGGGCCUAUGAGCCAUAACAACCAGUUGACCAAUCAACACAGGGCAAGCCCUCCAAGCCUGGAGGCACACCAAUCAUAAGCCUGUGCGUACCCCUAGACACUCCCCUUACGCUGCCCUAUAAGAUCUUUUGGGAGACCCAAGGAGCCGUCUUUUUCUAGCCGUCUGCCAUGGCGGGUGGGUGAAAGACCCGAGCUAACAUGGGGUUAGCUCGUAAAAUUACAAUAAAGCCUCAUGC